GGGGAUUUAGCUCAGUGGUAGAGUACUUGCCUAGCAAGCGCAAGGCCCUGGGUUCGGUCCCCAGCUCCA
rfam:Rattus norvegicus chromosome 16, whole genome shotgun sequence.